UACGUAGGCAGCAAGCGUUGUUCGGAAUUACUGGGCGUAAAGAGUGUGUAGGCGGUGCUCUAAGUUUGGUGUGAAAUCUCCCGGCUUAACCGGGAGGGUGCGCCGAAAACUGGAGUGCUAGAGUAUGGGAGAGGUAAGCGGAAUUCCUGGUGUAGCGGUGAAAUGCGUAGAUAUCAGGAGGAACACCUGUGGUGUAGACAGCUUACUGGACCAUUACUGACGCUGAGACACGAAAGCGUGGGUAGCAAACAGG
rnacentral:rRNA from 1 species